GCGAAGCGAUAAGUGGAGCGGUGAAAGGCUCAGUAACGGGCGAUUUAUUUGAUCUCCUGGGACGGACAACAUCGGGAAACUGAUGGGAAAACGUCUAAGUUGCAGUUUAUUGAUUGUGACGUAAACCUUUGUGUGCAGGAGAGUAAGAUGCCAUCCUAUCAGUUAGUAAGUAGGGUAAGGGCCUACUUAGACGAAGACGGGUACGGGGAAUGAGGGUUUGAUUCCGGAGAGGGAGCCUGAGAGAUGGCUACCAGGACCAAGGUCAGCAGCAGGCGCGAAAAUUAUCGAAGCCCGCCUAGGGGCGAUAGUGAGGAGACGUGUAUACGAAGUACGUGUAAAGACCGUACUAAUAACUGGAGGUCAAGUCUGG
rnacentral:rRNA from 1 species